CCUACGGGUGGCAGCAGUGAGGAAUAUUGGUCAAUGGGCGCGAGCCUGAACCAGCCAAGUAGCGUGAAGGAUGACUGCCCUACGGGUUGUAAACUUCUUUUAUAAAGGAAUAAAGUGCGGCACGUGUCCCUUUUUGUAUGUACUUUAUGAAUAAGGAUCGGCUAACUCCGUGCCAGCAGCCGCGGUAAUACGGAGGAUCCGAGCGUUAUCCGGAUUUAUUUGGUUUAAAGGGUGCGUAGAUGGGUUGUUAAGUAAGUUGUGAAAGUUUGUGGCUCAACCGUAAAAUUGCAGUUGAUACUGGCAGCCUUGAGUACAGUUGAGGUAGGCGGAAUUCGUGGUGUAGCGGUGAAAUGCUUAGAUAUCACGAAGAACUCCGAUUGCGAAGGCAGCCUACUAAGCUGCAACUGACACUGAUGCUCGAAAGUGUGGGUAUCAAACAGGAUUAGAUACCCUAGUAGUC
rnacentral:rRNA from 1 species